rnacentral:rRNA from 1 species
GUUGGAUGUGAAAUCCUAUGGCUCAACCAUAGAACUGCAUCCAAAACUGAGGGGCUAGAGUCUGGGAGGGGAAGAUGGAAUUAGUGGUGUAGGGGUAAAAUCCGUAGAGAUCACUAGGAAUACCAAAAGCGAAGGCGAUCUUCUGGAACAGUACUGACGCUGAGGCGCGAAAGCGUGGGGAGCAAACAGGAUUAGAUACCCUGGUAGUCCACGCCCUAAACUAUGAAUGUUAGUCGUCGGGAGGCUCGUCCUCUCGGUGAUGCAGCUAACGCAUUAAACAUUCCGCCUGGGGAGUACGGUCGCAAGAUUAAAACUCAAAGGAAUAGACGGGGACCCGCACAAGUGGUGGAGCAUGUGGUUUAAUUCGAAGAUACGCGAAGAACCUUACCUGGCCUUGACAUUGAUAGAAUCUGCUAGAGAUAGCGGAGUGCCCUUCGGGGAGCUUGAAAACAGGUGCUGCACGGCUGUCGUCAGCUCGUGUCGUGAGAUGUUGGGUUAAGUCCCGCAACGAGCGCAACCCUCGUCACUAGUUACUAACGGUUCGGCCGAGGACUCUAGUGAGACUGCCUUCGUAAGGAGGAGGAAGGUGAAGACGACGUCAAGUCAUCAUGGCCCUUACGGCCAGGGCGACACACGUGCUACAAUGGGAUGUACAAUGAGACGCAAUACCGCGAGGUGGAGCAAAUCUAUAAAGCAUCUCUCAGUUCGGAUUGUAGUCUGCAACUCGACUACAUGAAGCUGGAAUCACUAGUAAUC